UGUUUCGCUAACUGAUUUGUGUCAAUUCAUCGGCCUAACGGGAAUGUUAUAAACAUAAUUAUGUGAAAAGGACAAGAUGGAUAUCGGGCAUUAUAUUGUGAUACAUGGUAAUGUAUGACAUUGUUAUAUAAAUGUGUUUCGGGCGUGAACUCUACAAGGGAGCUGGUCUCAUUUUUUGACACUCUCAGUCGGAAACGACGUGCGAAAGACUGGAAUCGCCUGGACCGUAACAUUGCCCCCUUCCUCGGAGAAGUUCGUCCCGAACGCUAAAACGGUUAUCCAACUCACCUGACUCUGACGUGAUUGACUUUGCCAAUGUUAUCUUCCAUGUGAUGACUGGAAAUAUGGAAAGAACAACUCACUUCUGCAGUGGUAAACGUGGAUAUUAUUGCCACAAGAUUAAUUUUUAUUUUUAUACAGAUUUCGACACGGAUGACAAUGAUUAUGAUGAGGAUGAUGAUGACGACGAUGACGAUAUUGAUGAUAAAAGUAGAUCUUGGAUUAUGGAAACUGGUGUCUUCGUCUUCUCUGGUGAAAUUGGUGAUUUCUCUGACAACACUGGUGUUUUUUCUGACGAAAUUGGUUUUUUCUGUAAAGGAACAGAUGUCUUGUCUGAUGCAGCUGAUGUCUUCUGUACGGUAUCGGGUUCCACUGAUCCGAGAAUGAGAUCUACUGGAAGACGGAUGUUGCGGCCGAAGACCAUUUCACAUGGAGAAACGCCCAGUGAUUCGUGUUUUGCAGAACGAUACGCUGACAUGAGAAGGGAAGAGGAAGAUAAUGGAUUUUUGUUUAAUUGGUCUAUUGGAGCACUUGUGCAAGCCAAAACAUUAAGGUUUUCAUUGGAGGUUUGCUUGUUGGAGCCUCUGGAAGACUUUUUCUAAAUUGGAUAAGUGCUCGUCAAAGGAUUUUGCAAAGAUAAUGAUAUCAUCCAGGGGGACGCGACGAGGAUGCUGACGAAUUGGUGGAGCACAACCAGUAUUAAUCCAAUGCUCAGCUUCAUUGGUGAUGCCUAUAUCAGAUGAAUCUUUGGAAAAGGAGCUACGUGAUGAUUGCUGCAAUGGCUGUCCCUUAUUUAGGGUAUUUAUCAAGUGUUUGGUAGUUUUAUCCAAUGAUGUGAUUGAACCAUUCAAGAUUUUUCCGUUGAUCCAAAACGAAUACUUAGGAGGGUUGUGAGGGUAUGGAAAUCCGUUCUCUGGAUAGUAUUUAAUUCUGACAAGAUUGUCCUGGCGUUUCCAGACAAACUACUGGCUAGUUCCUGAGACAUCACCAUCAACUGAUUCUACCGAGGGCAUAUCCGGAUCAGUGUCUGGGAUAAUUUCGAACUCUGGGGACAAGGAUUUGGUGGCCAUUUUUAUAUUUCGAACCUAGUCACUGCUGCAGUUUAAAAUCAUUUAAAAAAUACAUAAAAUACACUUACGUUUUCUGUUUCAAUCUUUAAAAUUAUCACAGAGUGACCUCCCUUUCCAAACAGACACACUUAUCCAGUCGCUUUGUGAACCAAAUAGAAUGGAAAUGAGUGUUUAUCUUAUUACGUCACGGAUAUUUUCAUUACGUCAAAAUUGUUUUCCUUGGUAUUUACGUCAUUAAAACCAAAAGACUACCGUCAACUAUCGCGAAAGAAAGAAUUCCAAGAAAAAUGUUAAAUAUUUUGGGCUACAAUAUCGAUAAACACCUCCUGUUUAGAAUUUAUCGGACUGUUAUUGUCCAUUUGAUACCGCUUAAAUUUUUCAUUAGCGGCGCUCGAUCGGUAACGCGAUCUCGGCCUCUAAUGAUUUAAGCGGUAUCAAAUGGACAAUAACAGUCCUCUAAAUUCUAAACAGUCGGUGUUUAUCUCCUAAGUCAUAAUAAAAAUAGAAAUAAACAAAUAAAUAUAAACGCAGAUUAUAUACUUUCAUCAAAAAAUUCAAGUUUAAAAAAUGUUCCAUUAUCAAAACUACAAAUACUUAUUACUAUCUAUCUAUCUAUCUAUCUAUCUAUCUAUCUAUCCAAUAAGUAUCUAAUCACGAAAACUGAGCUCACAAUUACACCGUUAAAAUUUAUUUAUCUAUCUAUCUAUCCAAUAAGUAUCUUAUCACGAAAACUGAGCUCACAAUUACACCGUUAAAAUUUUCAAACGAUGAAGUUUGAAAAGCUUAAUUUACUGUAAAUGCCAAAAGUGUAGCUCUUGGUAAAUACAAUUAAUCCCUCUAGACUAUUUGUCAACAUUUUAUUAAUUCGGCAAUAUAACCUCAUGAUCUAGCAGAAGGAUGAUGAAUUUUUCAACAGCAAAUCGUAAAAACUAAAUAGUGUACUAGUCAUAUACAUCUGUCUAUACCUGAAAAACGAAUCAAGCGAUAUUUCAAAAAGACAAAAAACAUAUUGUAUAUGAGCGUAAGGUCACUAUUUUAGCAUACUCCCUGCAGUGUUUAGUUUGAUUAGACCUAAUCCCACUCAACACUGUCGUAAUGAAAGCAAAUUUCUGUUCCAAAUUGUGACUCGUCAAUAGUCCGAUUAAUAACCAAUACCUAACUGCGUAACAAUAUCCUUCUGGUUUAAACAGUUUCAAAUAUGUUAACAUAACGUUACGUCAUGAUUCACGAAAUUUAUUACGCCCAAUUAACCAGUGCAUAGCAGAAUAUUGCAGACAAACUAAUUGCGUGACAAACGAGGUUAUCAACAUGGCUACAAUGUAAACAAUACUGUUUGGAACAAUACUUUUACACCGUUUUUAAUACCUUAAAUCACUGUCCAAAGUUUUAGGGAAGACCCCAGAUUAAAUGAAAGACUUUACUAUAGGAGCGAUUUGAUUGAACGGGAAGAAUAGACACACUCCCCCAAAAACGUAAGUAUCAGAAGUCAAUCCAGCAAUGGCCAGAGCGGCAUUUCUCUGGUUAUUGCUUCAGGAAUAUGCUAUUAUAGUUUCUUUCGGAUAACUGGCUACUAAACCGCAUUUUAUUUGUGCAAAAGACAGGAAAAUGAACAGCUGAUUUCAUCCGCCAUCUUGGAUG